rnacentral:rRNA from 1 species
GACGAACGCUGGCGGCGGGCUUAACACAUGCAAGUCGAACGGAAAGGCCCUGCUUUUGUGGGGUGCUCGAGUGGCGAACGGGGGAGGAACACGUGAGUAACCUGCUCUUCACUUUGGGAUAACUUCAGGAAACUGGGGCUAAUACCGGAUAGGAGCUCCUGCUGCAGGGUGGGGGUGGGAAAGUUUCGGCGGUUGGGGAUGGACUCGCGGCUUAUCAGCUUGUUGGUGGGGUAGUGGCUUCCCAAGGCAUGGGCGGGUAGCCGGCCUGAGAGGGUGACCGGCCACCUUGGGACUGCGGUACGGCGCAGUCUCCUACGGUAGGCAGCAGUGGGAAACAUUGCCCAAUCGGCGCAAGCCUGAUGCGGAGGCGCCGCGUGCGGGAUGACGGCCUUCGGGUUGUAAACCGCUUUAGCCUGUGACGAAGCGUGAGUGACGGUACUCGGUAAAGAAGCACCGGCUAACUACGUG